CCCAAAAAAUUCAUUUAUGGGGCAUUGUUGAUUUUGUAAGUAACAAAAAUUACAUUUUGAUGCAGUGUCUCAGUAAGUAUGCUUCACUUAGAAGUGCCGCAUGUGUGUAAUUGGAAGCCUGCAUCUCUGCUGAGUGUGAAUCAUAAAAUCAGGUGAUAGAGAGGCAUCAGCAGAGAAACCAAGUGCUGCAGGGGGAUUGUGAGUCAUCUGACACUUUUUUUUUUUUACAGUGAGCCCCUGUUGAUCUACACUGCGAUCUGAUAUGCUGAUAUAUACUGCCUAACAGAAUGACUGACAAGAUACUGACUGGUAGGGAAAGAGAGUCUGUAACAGUGUUGGGGAAGUUACUUUGAGAUUGGAGCUUGCCAGGCUACAGUCUACACCUAAAAUAGUCAAGCUAUCAUUUUAAAAAGUAGUUUUAGCUAUAAUACAAGCUACUAACAAAAAGUAGCUCACUACAUUGAAGCUAUUCAAGGAGCCUUUUUUUUAAAAAAAAAUUUUAUAUAUAAAGUAAAAGCCAGGUGCAUGGUGCAAUUUACAGUUGAGGUCAAAAGUUUGCAUUCAACUUUCAGAGUCAUUUAAAAUGUAAAUUAUUUUACCAACAUAAGAGCGACCAUACAAAAUGCAUGUUAUAGUUAUUUAGUACUGACCUGAGUAAGAUAUUUCACAUAAAAGAUGUUUAAAUAUAGUCCACAAGAGAAAAUAAUAAUUUAUAAAAAUGACCCUGUUCAAAAGUUUACAUACACUUGAGUCUUAAUACUGUGCUAUUACCUAUAAUAAAGUUGUGUUUUUUUUUGUCUAGUGAUAGUUGUUCAUGAGCCUUGUUUGUCCUGAACAGUUAAACUGUCUGUUGUUCUUCAGAAAAGUCCUUCAGGGUCAGAAAGCUCUCGGAUUUCAUCAAAAAUGUCUUAACUUGUGUUCUGAAGAUGAAUGAAGGUCUUAUGGGUUUGGAACGACAUGAGGUGUGGUGCUUGAUUGACAGUCAAUAAGAGAAGCGACACUGCAGGACUGUGCCUCAAAACUUCUGACAUGGGCAGAAUUUCAUUGGAGGCAUUACAGUGCUUUUGUGGUCCGACUAAAGGAGGCUGCGGAGCCGUAUGAAACUCACGCCACGAUUAUAACAGAAAGUCACACGGCACUCAAUCAGCCCGACAAAUUCAAGCCAAAUCUACUCAAUAAGUGAAUCUAUUCAGCGAUGAGCCGCAAUCAGACUCCCACAGAGAUGAGAAACGCUUCCACUGAAUCUCCCUCGCUGCAGUCACAGCUGAGAACAAAUGAUUAAUUAAUACACCAGACAAAUGCCCUACAAUAUUCUUUCUCCUCCUGAAUUAUUUCAUCCGCCCACCAAUUGUGCCCAGUUACUGAGCAAAUAGCCGGCAAACAUGAAUAGGUCAUUAUGUCUGGCCCUCGGCGUGACUCUGAACCGCACAAAGUUUCUUUUGGACCUAAAGGCCUUGAGAACGAUGCACAGCUUGUAGGAGCACAAAGAAGAAAUCAAUAUGAAUUCAUAUGAAAAACCAACAUGAAGAAAUCAGCAAAACUACAUCUGCCCGUGUUUGUCGAACGCGUUUGCAUAUUGACUUAAUACGAUCUUGUUUUUCGUACCUCCCUGAGAGAAUUCCUUCUGCUGUUGUCACCCAUGAGCAGGUAACGCUUUCGCAUGUCAUAGUAAUGUGCACGGUGCCAUGAAGGUGAUCUUGUCCAUUUGUCGGGUAAUAAAUUUUGCUGCCUUGUCGCAGUGUAUCUCUGACCUCUUUCGCAUUAAUUCUCAGUAAACAGGAGCUUUAAUACUUCAUCAUUUAAUCUCAUUUAAUCUGCAGUGGCACAGGCAACCAAAAGAAACAUAUUUUCACUAUAUAUCACAGCGUACUUUGGCUUUCUGGCAUUAUAAUGAGCUAUUUCUCACACUUCCUCCCAAGGACAAGGCCUUAAGGUUGCACGUUUUAUUAAAAUGCUAAAUUUAAAAAAAUGUGAUAAUAUUGAGUGGAGUUUAUAUCAUUAAUGUCCAGUCCAACAAUAUUCAUAAGUGAGACUGGAUAUAAUUAGAUUCAUGUGCAUGUUAAAGAAAGCUAAUUUGACAGUUACAGUGACAAAAUGUUUAAAAAUGAAUGUCUUUGUGUUAGAUAAAAAAUAGCCAACAAAGUGUAUAGAGUGAAGAAAAAAA